CCUACGGGAGGCAGCAGUGGGGAAUAUUGCACAAUGGGCGCAAGCCUGAUGCAGCGACGCCGCGUGCGGGAUGACGGCCUUCGGGUUGUAAACCGCUUUUGACUGGGAGCAAGCCCUUCGGGGUGAGUGUACCUUUCGAAUAAGCACCGGCUAACUACGUGCCAGCAGCCGCGGUAAUACGUAGGGUGCAAGCGUUAUCCGGAAUUAUUGGGCGUAAAGGGCUCGUAGGCGGUUCGUCGCGUCCGGUGUGAAAGUCCAUCGCUUAACGGUGGAUCCGCGCCGGGUACGGGCGGGCUUGAGUGCGGUAGGGGAGACUGGAAUUCCCGGUGUAACGGUGGAAUGUGUAGAUAUCGGGAAGAACACCAAUGGCGAAGGCAGGUCUCUGGGCCGUCACUGACGCUGAGGAGCGAAAGCGUGGGGAGCGAACAGGAUUAGAUACCCUGGUAGUCCACGCCGUAAACGGUGGAUGCUGGAUGUGGGGACCAUUCCACGGUCUCCGUGUCGGAGCCAACGCGUUAAGCAUCCCGCCUGGGGAGUACGGCCGCAAGGCUAAAACUCAAAGAAAUUGACGGGGGCCCGCACAAGCGGCGGAGCAUGCGGAUUAAUUCGAUGCAACGCGAAGAACCUUACCUGGGCUUGACAUGUUCCCGACAGCCGUAGAGAUACGGUCUCCCUUCGGGGCGGGUUCACAGGUGGUGCAUGGUCGUCGUCAGCUCGUGUCGUGAGAUGUUGGGUUAAGUCCCGCAACGAGCGCAACCCUCGCCCUGUGUUGCCAGCACGUCGUGGUGGGAACUCACGGGGGACCGCCGGGGUCAACUCGGAGGAAGGUGGGGAUGACGUCAGAUCAUCAUGCCCCUUACGUCCAGGGCUUCACGCAUGCUACAAUGGCCGGUACAACGGGAUGCGACCUCGUGAGGGGGAGCGGAUCCCUUAAAACCGGUCUCAGUUCGGAUUGGAGUCUGCAACCCGACUCCAUGAAGGCGGAGUCGCUAGUAAUCGCGGAUCAGCAACGCCGCGGUGAAUGCGUUCCCGGGCCUUGUACACACCGCCCGUCAAGUCAUGAAAGUGGGUAGCACCCGAAGCCGGUGGCCCAACCUUUUGGGGGGAGCCGUCUAAGGUGAGACUCGUGAUUGGGACUAAGUCGUAACAAGGUAGCCGUACCGGAAGGUGCGGCUG
rnacentral:rRNA from 1 species